rnacentral:rRNA from 1 species
GUGGGGAAUUUUGGACAAUGGGCGCAAGCCUGAUCCAGCAAUGCCGCGUGUGUGAAGAAGGCCUUCGGGUUGUAAAGCACUUUUGGCAGGAAAGAAAUAGUGCGUGCUAAUACCAUGCGCGAAUGACGGUACCUGCAGAAUAAGCACCGGCUAACUACGUGCCAGCAGCCGCGGUAAGACGUAGGGUACAAGCGUUAAUCGGAAUUACUGGGCGUAAAGCGUGCACAGGCGGUUUUGUAAGACAGGUGUGAAAUCCCCGGGCUCAACCUGGGAACUGCACUUGUGACUGCAAGGCUAGAGUGUGUCAGAGGGAGGUGGAAUUCCGCGUGUAGCAGUGAAAUGCGUAGAGAUGCGGAGGAACACCGAUGGCGAAGGCAGCCUCCUGGGAUAACACUGACGCUCAGGCACGAAAGCGUGGGGAGCAAACAGGAUUAGAAACCCGAGUAGUCC